UGAAUCCCCACCUUUCCUUGCGCGGUCAGUAAAUGUUACAUUAAAUGUUGUUAAAAUGUCAUUAUUAAAAAAGAUAAGUAAUUUGUCCUCGAUGCGUGCCUGCUGUGGCUGCACCCACGACUUAAAUUUCUUUUCAAAUCCAAACUCAUGUGUGAUAUAGUAAACAAAGUAAAUCGGGAAAAAAUUAAAGAUUGGCGACCUAUAGCCUGGCAUGAACGCGUUUCAACAAUCGCGCAAUACUUUUUGAAAUUCGUGAUUAAUACUCAUCACUACAAAACAAAGUAUGAUAAAUUUUUAAUGAUUUAGUUUAAACAGUAGGGGAUCUAGAAGUGUACUGUACUACAGCAAUUAAACAUCAACAUAAAAAUACCAUAUAUAUGUAUGCAUUAAAAUAACUGCUUAAUUGAAGCAUCGAUACUAAAUUCAGUGUUAACAAAUUAAACACAAGCAAAAACAUUAAUAGUAAAGUCUUUUUAUAAACACACUCAGGUGUCAGUUAAAGUGGCAACUUAUCUAAGUUGAGCAGUCGAUGAGUGAUGGCCGUCAUCCAGUCAUAUGUCUCCUUUGGAUCCAACAAUAAUUUCCAUUUACCGCCCGACUUUUGCGAUUAACACUUGAGGAUUAUCUAUAAUAAAACGAAAGAACAAACACUGAAACUUAUAGAACACUCAUGGCACAU